UUCGAGUCUAGCGGCUGCCCUGGUCAACACCGUGGUGUGCGGUAGCCAUAAUCACACUACGCGCCGUCUGCUUCACUCACGGCGGACGCUCAACAUCCCCUGACAUCAUUCGCAAGAGGAGCACGUGAUCGAUUACCCGGCCUCCUUUCAACACGGCGGUUGUCCCACCAUCCUGAAGGUGGGAAACCCCCCCGCCCUCACAAGCCACGCCCAGCGUGACACACGGCUGAUGACAUCACCAAGCCCCGCCCAUCACCUCCCCGGCCAGUGGCACACAUGGCAGCAGAGGAACGCCUCACUCGAGCAUUAAGGACUCUAUUUCCAGAGGGGGUCCUACAUUGGGAUGCUUGGCCGAAUUCCAUGACCCAGCUGUCUUGACUCGCGAGAGGAGACCGGAGAUCCAGGAAAAUACCCCACGCGUACGAGGAGGUGGACCCGCCCUACACCGUGGGACAAAGGAGGAGAGGGGCGACGGAGGGUGAGACGGGAGGAUCCAGUGGAGCGAGAUUCGAGGAGGA